rnacentral:rRNA from 1 species
AUUGAACGCUGGCGGCAGGCCUAACACAUGCAAGUCGAGCGGAUGAAGGGAGCUUGCUCCUGGAUUCAGCUGCGGACGGGUGAGUAAUGCCUAGGAAUCUGCCUGGUAGUGGGGGAUAACGUCCGGAAACGGGCGCUAAUACCGCAUACGUCCUGAGGGAGAAAGUGGGGGAUCUUCGGACCUCACGCUAUCAGAUGAGCCUAGGUCGGAUUAGCUAGUUGGUGGGGUAAAGGCCUACCAAGGCGACGAUCCGUAACUGGUCUGAGAGGAUGAUCAGUCACACUGGAACUGAGACACGGUCCAGACUCCUACGGGAGGCAGCAGUGGGGAAUAUUGGACAAUGGGCGAAAGCCUGAUCCAGCCAUGCCGCGUGUGUGAAGAAGGUCUUCGGAUUGUAAAGCACUUUAAGUUGGGAGGAAGGGCAGUAAGUUAAUACCUUGCUGUUUUGACGUUACCAACAGAAUAAGCACCGGCUAACUUCGU